AAUAAAUUAGAUUAGAAACUAGGAUUAGAUACCCAGUUAUAUUAAUUUGAAGACAAACUUUUUAUAAUUGAAUGUUCAAUCAUUAAAAUAAAGUAAUAUGGCGGUCUUUUGAUCUUUUUAGGGAAAUUUCUUUUUUAAUUUGAUA